rnacentral:rRNA from 1 species
UACGUAGGGGGCAAGCGUUGUCCGGAUUUAUUGGGCGUAAAGGGCGCGUAGGCGGUCUCUUAAGUUUGAAGUGACAGUGGGUGGCUUAACUACCCAAGGCCUUUGAAAACUGGGGAACUUGAGGACCAGAGAGGGACAUAGAAUUCCGGGUGGAGUGGUGAAAUGCGUAGAUAUCCGGAGGAAUACCAAAGGCGAAGGCAGUGUCCUGGAGGGUUAACUGACGCUGAGGCGCGAAAGCUAGGGGAGCGAACAGG